CCCUUAGAUGUUCUGGGCCGCACGCGCGCUACACUGACGAAGUCAGCGAGCAUGUCCUACGCCGACAGGGGCGGGGAAUCUUGUCAAACUUCGUCGUGAUGGGGAUUGAUUAUUGAAAUUCUUGAUCAUCAACGAGGAAUUCCUAGUAAGCGCAAGUCAGCAGCUUGCGUUGAUUACGUCCCUGCCCUUUGUACACACCGCCCGUCGCUACUACCGAUUGAAUGGUUUAGUGAGAUCUUCGGAUUGGCGCCACUGCGGCUCAGCAAUGGGCUCGGUGGAUGCCGAAAAGUUGAUCAAACUUGAUCAUUUAGAGGAAGUAAAAGUCGUAACA
rnacentral:rRNA from 1 species